AAAGCCUUAGCCGCAGCAAUAUGGAAGAUAAAACGCCCUAAGGCUCUCCCCUCCAUCUUUCGCCGUUUCAAAUCCCAGAUUCCCCGUCUAAUCCGAUCGGAACAGAGUAGACGAGGAUUCCUACGGCGUGAUAUCACAGGCGUACGGAGCAGUGGACGUGGAGGCUCGCGUGUAUUUGGCGCGGAGGCACAACACGCAUGCAGGCGCAACACGUGCGAGGAGGAGGAGGCCUGGCUUUGCUGCGGCGCUGGAGGUUCUAGGGUUCCCUGCUGCUGAUUUUCUCUGUUUUGGGCUGCGGGUAUUUGGGCUUGAUUUUGGGCUAGUAAUUUGGGUUUAGGUUUAGUAUUUGGGUUAAGGACUGAAUUGGGCUUUGAGUCUGUAAAUGGACAUUUUUUUUUUAGGUUUUUGGUUUGAUUUUAAUAUUUAUAAAAACUAGGCUGUUAAUAGUGGAUGUUUUAAUUUAAUUUAUU